rnacentral:rRNA from 1 species
UACGUAGGUGGCAAGCGUUGUCCGGAUUUACUGGGUGUAAGGGGAGCGUAGACGGCGAUGCAAGCCAGAUGUGAAAGCCCGGGGCUCAACCCCGGGACUGCAUUUGGAACUGUAUAGCUAGAGUGUCGGAGAGGCAGGCGGAAUUCCUAGUGUAGCGGUGAAAUGCGUAGAUAUUAGGAGGAACACCAGUGGCGAAGGCGGCCUGCUGGACGAUGACUGACGUUGAGGCUCGAAAGCGUGGGGAGCAAACAGG